rfam:Pristionchus pacificus strain PS312 contig11358, whole genome shotgun sequence.
UCUUCAUUUCACACACUCUCUCACCGGUCAGAGAGGCGAGAGAGUGCAUAAAAUGAAAAGA